CUUUUCUUGUUAGUUUUUGAAGUAUGGCCUGCCCGCUGACUUAUUGUUGAAGGGCCGCGGUAUUUUGACCGUGCAAAGGUAGCAUAAUCAUUAGUUCUUUAAUUGUGAUCUGGAAUGAAUGGCUUGACGAGAUGCGAGCUGUCUUAAAUUUGAAUGUUUUAUUGAAUUUGGUUUUUGAGUUAAAAUUCUUAGAUGUUUUUAUGGGACGAGAAGACCCUAUAGAGUUUGACAUGUUGAUUUGCUUGUUUAUUUGUAGUUUGUUUUAUUUUUAAUAAGUGGGUCUUGUGUUUUGUUGGGGUGAUGAGAGGAAUAUAAUUUAACUCCUCUUGGUUUAGUGGUUAUAUUGAUUUAUAUUUAUUUGAUCCAUUUAUUUUGAUUAUAAGAUUAAAUUACC
rnacentral:rRNA from 1 species